UGGACUGUGGGCUCACUGCCUCAGAGGAGAUGUUGAAUUAUAUUGUAAAAAUACAACAACAAAAAGGGACUUAUUUUUAUUAUCAAGCGGAGAAAAAAAGACUUAAAAACUCAACAAGACUUCUGUUCCUUCUUUUCCGUUUUGGCACGAUGACUCAUGAUGACGAGCGGUGUUUCCCACUGACGGACGACCACUUCCUGUUGUGUACUUCCUGUUUUCCCAUGUUUCGUAUGAGUCCCUCUAUUAACCGUAGUACGACACACUCACCACUAGGUGGAGGUGUUCUGGUCUCAGGUCAGGGGGGAGACGGAGGGAACCCUUUCAUCCACACAGCACACACACACACACACACACACACACACGUAGAUGGUAUAGUUUAGUUAAGGUAGUAAUUAGGUUAAACCCCUCAGUGCCUCCUCUCCUCUCCUGUGACAACCUGUCUGACCCAAAACACACACACACACACACACACACACACACACACACACACGUAGAUGGUAUAGUUUAGUUAAGGUAGUAAUUAGGUUAAGCCCCUCAGUGCCUCCUCUCCUGUGACAACCU